rnacentral:rRNA from 1 species
CCUACGGGAGGCAGCAGUGAGGAAUAUUGGUCACUGGACGAGAGUCUGAACCAGCCAAGUAGCGUGAAGGAUGACUGCCCUAUGGGUUGUAAACUUCUUUUAUAUGGGAAUAAAAUGUUCCACGUGUGGGAUUUUGUAUGUACCAUAUGAAUAAGGAUCGGCUAACUCCGUGCCAGCAGCCGCGGUAAUACGGAGGAUCCGAGCGUUAUCCGGAUUUAUUGGGUUUAAAGGGAGCGUAGGUGGAUUGUUAAGUCAGUUGUGAAAGUUUGCGGCUAAACCGUAAAAUUGCAGUUGAAACUGGCAGUCUUGAGUACAGUAGAGGUGGGCGGAAUUCGUGGUGUAGCGGUGAAAUGCUUAGAUAUCACGAAGAACUCCGAUUGCGAAGGCAGUUCACUGGACUGCAACUGACACUGAGGCUCGAAAGUGUGGGUAUCAAACAGGAUUAGAUACCCGUGUAGUC